GGCUAACGCUGGCGGCGUGUCUUAGCCAUGCAAGUCGAGCGGACUUAUGGGGUAACUUAUAAGUCAGCGGCGGACGGCGGAGUAACACGUAGCUAACCUACCCUCUGGACGGGGAUAACCUACCGAAAGGUGGGCUAAUACCCGAUGUAGUCAUCCUGUAUAGGGGUGAUGAAAGGUGGGCUUCUGUUUACAAGCUCAUGCUGGAGGAGGGGGCUGCGGCCUAUCAGGUAGUUGGUAGGGUAAUAGCCUACCAAGCCGAUGACGGGUAGCCGGCCUGAGAGGGUGACCGGCCCGAGGGGCACUGAGAUACGGGUCCCACUCCUACGGGAGGCAGCAGGCUAGAAAUUUGGGCAAUGGGGGAAACCCUGACCCAGUGACGCCGCGUGCAGGAAGGAGCCCUUCGGGGUGUAAACUGCUGUCGUGUAGGGAGAAGGGUACUAAGGUGAACAAUCUUAGUACUUGACGGUACUACAGGAGGAAGCCCAGGCUAACCUCGUGCCAGCAGCCGCGGUAAGCUACGUAGA
rnacentral:rRNA from 1 species